rnacentral:rRNA from 1 species
GAUGAACGCUAGCGGCAGGCUUAACACAUGCAAGUCGAGGGGUAUUGGUUUUCGGACCAAGAGACCGGCGCACGGGUGCGUAACGCGUAUGCAAUCUACCUUUUGCAGAGGGAUAGCCCAGAGAAAUUUGGAUUAAUACCUCAUAGUAUAGUACUUUGGCAUCAAGGAACUAUUAAAGUCACAACGGCAAAAGAUGAGCAUGCGUCCCAUUAGCUAGUUGGUAAGGUAACGGCUUACCAAGGCUACGAUGGGUAGGGGUCCUGAGAGGGAGAUCCCCCACACUGGUACUGAGACACGGACCAGACUCCUACGGGAGGCAGCAGUGAGGAAUAUUGGACAAUGGGCGCAAGCCUGAUCCAGCCAUGCCGCGUGCAGGAUGACGGUCCUAUGGAUUGUAAACUGCUUUUAUACAGGAGAAACCCUCCCACGUGUGGGAGCUUGACGGUACUGUAGGAAUAAGGAUCGGCUAACUCCGUGCCAGCAGCCGCGGU